rnacentral:rRNA from 1 species
UUGAAAGGGAAACGAUUGAAGUCAGUCGUACCUGUGGGUAAUCAGCCUUUUGGGUGUGAUUUUGUGGAGUGUGAGGAGUUAAACGCCUUCAUGCCUGCAUAUUCGUGCACUUUGGGUGUAUUUGCCCGUGUGGUAAGUUAACAUCAAUUUUGGUGGUCAUAAAAUGGCUGGAGGAAUGUAGCUUCGAUCUCGUAUUGAAGUGUUAUAGCCUUCGGUAGAUGUGAUUAUCGGGAUUGAGGAUUGCAACGGAUACCCUUCGGGGCUACCUGUCUGAUCUCUGAUCGUUGCUCUGGUGCCGAAAGCUUGCUUACGGUUAUCAAAGUCGAUGGUCAAUAGGUUAGAACGGGUUAAAUUCGUUAAGGAUGUUGACGUA